AAGAAUUAGUAGUUUAAAUUAGAAUUCUGCUUUGUGGGUGCAGGGGUAUACCUUUAGAGUAUCAUUCUUC
rnacentral:tRNA from 1 species